rnacentral:rRNA from 1 species
GUAGGUGGCAAGCGUUGUCCGGAAUUAUUGGGGCGUAAAGCGCGCGCAGGCGGUUCUUUAAGUCUGAUGUGAAAGCCCACGGGCUCAACCGUGAGGGUCAUUGGAAACUGGAGAACUUGAGUACAGAAGAGGAAAGCGGAAUUCCACGUGUAGCGGUGAAAUGCGUAGAGAUGUGGAGGAACACCAGUGGCGAAGGCGGCUUUCUGGUCUGUAACUGACGCUGAGGCGCGAAAGCGUGGGGAGCAAACAGGAUUAGAUACCCUGGUAGUCCACGCCGUAAACGAUGAGUGCUAAGUGUUAGGGGGUUUCCGCCCCUUAGUGCUGCAGCUAACGCAUUAAGCACUCCGCCUGGGGAGUACGGCCGCAAAGGCUG